rnacentral:rRNA from 1 species
GAUGAACGCUGGCGGCGUGCCUAACACAUGCAAGUCGAGCGAAGCGAUUUCGAUGAAAUUUUCGGAUGGAAUCGAGAUUGACUUAGCGGCGGACGGGUGAGUAACACGUGGGUAAUCUGCCUUAUACAGGGGGAUAACAGUUAGAAAUGACUGCUAAUACCGCAUAAGCGCACGGGAACGCAUGUUUCUGUGUGAAAAACUCCGGUAGUAUAAGAUGAGCCCGCGUCUGAUUAGCUGGUUGGUGGGGUAACGGCCUACCAAGGCGACGAUCAGUAGCCGGCCUGAGAGGGUGAACGGCCACAUUGGGACUGAGACACGGCCCAA